rnacentral:rRNA from 1 species
GACUUGUGUGCGCCGGAUGCGGCGAUCUGCGGCCAAAAGGUCGUUGCGAUCAGCCCGUCCUGGCGCCGUAAAAUUUGCAACUGAGUCGCCUCUGGUCUUAAUUGGUCGGUGGCGUCUGCUCGGUUGCUCGUUUACUGUGAGAAAAUUAGAGUGUUCAAGGCAGGCGUUUGUAAUUGAAUAUGUUAGCAUGGAAUAAUGAGAUAUGGCUCCCGUGUCUUGUUGGUUUUGUGAUGUGGAAGUAAUGAUUGAUAGGGACGGUUGGGGGUGCUAGUAUUCAGCGGCCAGAGGUGAAAUUCAUGGAUUCGCUGAAGACUGACUUCUGCGAAAGCAUU